GGGAGUUUUCUCUGUCCAUGUCCAUUGAAAUGCCUUAUGAGAUCAUCAACUUGAGCUCUUCACACCGCAUCAAAACCAAGAGGACAGACUGUAAGGCAGUGAUCAGCACGUUACCGGGACAGACUCUGGGAUCUGAAGGGUUACAUGUGUCCUUCAGUCUUUCUAAUAUCCACAUGCCCAGGAUGUGGGUCGAGAACCAUCCGGAUAAAGAUAGUCAGGCCUGCAUGCUGGUGUU